GACCUGGUGGUGAAAUGUAUCACAUCUACCCUCCUUCAAUUUGGAGACUACGUGUUGUGGGAGUUCCUGGUUCGAGUCCAGGUCAGGUCA